CUCCCUUUCCCCCCGCGUCUCUCUGAGAGCUGAUCUGAGCUGCUGCUAAGGACCGAAACGCGCCUCAAGCUGUCACUUGCCGCCUGGAGUUCGUUGGGAAAGUUGAAAAAGCCUAGUCCUGUUUAGGAAAUCUAUCCAGCUGUGUAUAUACUUUUUGCUUUUAGGGUAUGAAGCUCAGGAAGGAUAAGAAAAACAAGAUCACACAGCUGGCAAGUGGCAAAGCAGGACACAAUUUAUAACUCCAGAACGAGAAUUUGCAGUUGUUGCGCCAGAUGCCCUGUAGCGUGGCUCGUCUGGGUUCAGGAAAGUAUAGCUCCAGUUUAGUGUUCUUAUGGAUCAUCGACUGUACCCAAGACCAGAAACGGAAACAACUAGAUCAUCUUCAACUGAACAACGGAGACAGAAACGUGAUACAGGGGACUCUGGUUCAAUUCCCAGCACCCACAUGA
rnacentral:lncRNA from 1 species